AUCCGGAGGAUCCGAGCGUUAUCCGGAUUUAUUGGGUUUAAAGGGCGCGCAGGCGGCCAUUUAAGUCAGCGGUUAAAUCGUGGGGCUCAAACCCAUUCUGCCGUUGAUACUGGGUGGCUUGAUUGCGGUCGAGGUUGGCGGAAUUCGUUGUGCAGCGGUGAAAUGCAUAGAUAUGACGAAGAACACCGAUUGCGUAGGCAGCUGACCAGAUCGCAAAUGACGCUCAUGCACGAAAGUGCGGGGAUCGAACAGGAUUAGAUACCCUGGUAGUCCGCACAGUAAACGAUGAAUACUUGUUUUCGGCGAUAUAAUGUCGGAGGCAAAGCGAAAGCGAUAAGUAUUCCACCUGGGGAGUACGCCGGCAACGGUGAAACUCAAAUGAAUUGACGGGG
rnacentral:rRNA from 1 species